GGCCAAGUCCCAGGCCCCUGUAAUUUGAAAUUUGUGAUGUAGGGUGGAGUUGGGGUCUAGAACAUAUUCCUAGAUCAACACAAGAUGUCUGGAGCUGUGAAGUUAUCCUGCAGCGCUUUGAGUUUUUUCUUAGCUUUCUAAGCAUUUUAUUAUUUGCUGCCCAAUGUGGGGUUCAGAAGAGUUAGGAAAACCUAUGCUAAUUAUGUUGUAUUGGUACUUACUGUGUGUUGGGAUAAAGGACUUUGUAAUGGCCGAGAGCCGCAGCCAGGGUAAGGGGGUUCCCCCAAGAAGGAAAUAGAGCCGGCCAGCAGCAGUCAAGGUGAAGCGGGCAAGGCGGUCCAGUCGCGUUUCGUCGAGACCCCGUCAACCAGCCGGCCGGCACGCCUGCUUCGCCGCUCCCGUGAGCCCUGCGGAAGCGUUACAGGGACCGCGUGACGGAGCCUUUUCCACGUAAAGGGGCCGUGGGGGUGGCCUUCAGGAACGGGCCGAGGGCUUCCCGUGAGUUGGGGAUGUCAGGA
rnacentral:lncRNA from 1 species